GGGGAAGCAAUUUUGCGUGGAAGUUCCGUUUCUCUCCGAUGUCUGAGAAGAAAGCUCCUAGGAAGUUUAUCUGGUCGGUGGACUGCAGCGAUAUUCAGGUUCAGUUACAGCAUCCAAUCAUCUGUAUAUCUCAGCGCCUCUUUUGUUUUGUACCACUCACAAUCCAUAUGUGCAUAUCAGAGGAAAUGUGCUUUCACCAGGCAUGUUGGAGCGAGCAUACCUAGUUCCCCGGUUGCAAAUAUGAUCCUAACUAGCCAUUAAGAUGUUAAUUCCACAUUUUCUUGAUGUAAUCUCUAAAGGAUCGACAACCUGUUAGUCUUAUUAUAGAGUGUUGAGCCGCCAACUCCACAUUUCUCUUGGUCUAAUUUCUAAAGUGAUAAUGUGCAGCAUCUCCUGAUGAACAUGUUUUAGGAUAAUAUUACUUUAGAUAAUUUUUUGAUGGGUUUUUUCUGUGUCCCUUAAAAUCAAAUAUAAUGAAAUACGUUUCACAGUAAAUUUUCUGCCCCUAGUUGUAAAGAACAGGUUCAAUUCAGUCCGAUUUAGUUCUUAUGAUGUUAUUAUUGAUGCCUUGUUCAAAUCAAAAGGACGAGAAUGAAUUAAUCAAUGAUUUAUUGCUUAAUACCAAAAAAUUGUGCUAAUUUAUGAAUUUGUUGAUUCCAAAGAUUCUGCUAUGUUGGUCUCAGCAUGAGGACUGCUAAUCUAUGGAACAAAUAUGCUGUUGCGCUGCCUGAUUUCCUCUAAUUCUGGAAAUAUGCGCAUCUAAUCUCCGAUAUUGUUAUGUGCAAAACCAAUAUGUCAUCGUUCUUAAGUACAUGCAGGCGCUGACUCUGUACUUUUCCUGUUGAUAUGCACUUUAGUAUAUCAAAAUGUACACUUAAUGUGGUGUUUAUAUUUUCAACUCACACAAUAGAGAGGGGCAGUGCACCAACCAACUGGCACAAGCUGUACACUGACGGCAUCCAGUUUGGCCUUCCCGUCAACAUAAGUUAUCAUUCCUGUUCAUCUGUCUCUUCUGUGAUCCGAUUCACGCGACUUAAGAGUUAAGAGGCACACCCAUCUGCGUGCCAGAUGCUUGGAUCAGGAGGGUCAGGAAACAGAAUUCAGCUGCGUAGCUUGACAGUGAUGUAUGUCUGUGGUUUGCUAGCUGAGUAAGUCUGUGCUCUAUGUGCAUGUCACCUCAAGUAAUCAUAAAAAAUUUACUCAUGUGCGUGCUAUGCAGGUGGAAGAGAAGCAGUUGGCAUGGAAGUUCCAUUUCUCUCUGAUGUCCGAGAAGAAAGCUCUUGUAGAAAAUGGUUGUGUACACAGUGCCUAAUCUGUUUUGUACCAUCACAUUUCAUAUGUCCAUCGGAGAAAAUGUGCUUUCUUUAGGGGUGUUGGAGUGGACCGAGUUACAGUCCUCAUUUAUAUGGGCAUAGGCAGUGACAAAGAAAAGGGCACUGCAAUCAUUUGUUUUAGUGCUUGUCUUUGUUUUUGUUGCUUCCGUUGUAUGGUUGCAAAGUUAGGCUUCAUCUGAUUUUUGUUAGCUAAGAUGAUCUCAUUAAGCUGAUAAAUAGAAUUCCACACGACCCUUUAUUCCAG
rnacentral:lncRNA from 1 species